GAGAUUGCUCCUCUUGGAGUCUUCUCAGCGAGCCCAGGACCAGGGAACAAAAAAAGAAAUUACUGGAAAAUCUUCAUAGCGGAUCUCCCUCCGCCCACAGAGUGGUGGGAAUAAACAUCACAACUUCAGAUCUUGGUGAAUGCAGAUAAAUAGAGGCUUAGCUGAUAAGUUAACGACAUACCAAAACCAGAUUGCUUGAAGUCUGAAAUAAUAAGAAGCCGAUGAGCAGAAUGCUGGAAUCCUGACAAAACACUGCUUUCUGCUUUGAGAGGAGGAAGCCUGGCCUGGUGCUCAGGAUGGAAGUGGAGGAAGAUGGCAUGGGGAGCCCGGAGUAUCAAUAGAGAAUCCAGCUCUCCUGGGUCCAUCUCUUUUGUCUUGCCCUUGAAACAUCCUUAUCCACCAAAGUAAGUCUGAAAAAAGAGCCAUUCUUCUGGCACAACUCCAUCGUGGACCCACUGGCUCUGCUCUCUUGAUUCCCCUGCCGACCUAAGCAAUGCCUGCUCCAUCAUGGAUGUGCUCUGGCAAUGAAGCAUUGAGGCCAGGGCUGUUCUUGGAGGAACUGAGGCUCAGAAAAGUUCAGGAGUGCGCCAAGUUGUGUGGGUUGAAUCCAACUCUUCCAUGUCUCAGGCAGUGAAAAUGAAGGGGGGGGGAAGGAAGUGGAAAACUUUGGGAUAUUCUCCCAAAACACUUCCAAGAAAAUCCUUUGGAAAUUAUUUUUUCCCACAGCACUCUUGUAGACUGAAUUUAUGCAAAUCCUCUGUGGUUGUGCUCUUCAUUUGUACGUUUUUAAAUCAAUGUGUGGUUAUGAUUGAGAUAUUUAAAAAAAAUACUAAUAAUCUUCUGCUGAAAACCAAUUUUAUUCAUGUAUAGACCAUGGAAAGAUGAGUGGUGCAGCAUUUGUUGAGGAAGGUGUUGGAUGCUGAGAACAGGUUGCUCUGGGGUCUGCCUCAUUUGUCCCUCUUUGUAGAGAUAGAAGGCUUGAUGCUGCUUGGCAGUUCACAGGAUUGGGCUGCUGAGUAAAUGGCAAAUUCAUUUAGAGAUAUCUAGUGAAUGCACAGAAUAAGCUGCCAGCUCUCUUCUUAGAGCCAACAGUUCACUAAUUUUAAUCACCAGCUGGAUAUUUUUAUGGGGAGUGAAGAGACGGAGGGGUAUUAUGACAGAACAAGGGAGGUGGGAUUAGACUAAUCUAACCCAGGCCAAGUGGGCUCUUCCUGCUCAGCCAUGUGCAGUGUCAUGACUGUGUGAUUUAGACUACCGCACGCUCACCAGCACUGAUAAGGAGGACAAUUAUGGGGCACGUAAUUGUCUCCUCAACCCUUGGAGCUGAGGAGCGUCUCCAGCUCUGAGUUAGAGCCAUUCCCCACGGCGGGGAUGUGGGUCCUGAUGACUGCUCCCCAGGGCUCUUGUGAUGUUGCUCCCCAUGGAUUCUGGUGUGCGCUCUGCUCUUGGAUGGCGCUCGCCCUUGCCUUGUCCCAAGCAAAAACUCAGCAAGACAUUUGCUGAGCUCCUUCAUCCUGCUGUAGAAAUGUGGUGGGUGGCAGCUACAUUAUCACCUUUGGAGAAAGCUUCUCUGUGUUAUGUCUCUGAGUCCCUCAAGAGUAGUUUCUCUGGUUAAUUGUCAUGUUUCCCCGUAAUGUCUGGUUCUCUCCAUGUCCUUCCUCACCUUCCGCUUACUCAUACCCAGCUGAGACUCGUGCCAGACUGUCGCUGCCUGAGUGUGUCCAACAAAUCAAGGCAAAAGGCACAGUGCCACCUCUCCCAGCCUUGGUUUUACUGGAUACUCCUGGUAGGAAGCAUGGGAAGUGGUAUCCAGAGCCAAAUUUUUCCUCCCCCCCCCCCCCCCGUUUUGUUUUGUUUUGUUUUUGGAAUAACCCUCU